UACAAUGUUGAAACAACGGUGAAUGGUAAACGGUUGCAAAAGGUUAAUGCAAUGCUUAAAAAUCAACGUUGAAAUUUGGUUGAAAUAAUGUCAGUACGGUGAAUGGUAAAUGGUUGUUUUAUGACAUUUUAAUUUGUGAAUCCUUUAGAUAAAAAUGUAAAAACUCAUUUUAUGAAAAUACUUAUAUUUUUAAAAUUUAACAAAAGUAAUUGAUCAAGUUAAAAAUAUAUUAGACACAUGCAAAUAAAUCAUCUUUGUAUCUUUAUUUUUCCCUUUCAAAACAAGUGCCUUUUUGGUAAAUAUUUUUCUAGGUUGCUCAUAUUAUAUAAAGUUUAAGAAGCUACAAAUAUUUUAUGUUUACUAUUACAUUGAUUUUAACACUGGUGGGGCAUGUGAUUUCCAUAUGAUGAAUUCAGGAGAUGGAUUAGGCUAUUUUUGUAAGCAUUAUUAUGGUUGUUUUAUUUUUAGUAUAUUUUCAUCACAAUGUCUAAAAUAUAACGUUUGAAAUAUAAAUUUUAAGAAUACCAUUAAUAAUGUAAUAACAUCCAACCUUUUCUCUGCUUUCUUUACGGUGCCACAGACAGCUCCCUCAGCCUUUUGUAAGCAAAACAUGCCCAUGCGGGCCCACUGUGGGGUUUACUGUGGGACAGUGUGGACAGGGCAAACUCACACCACAUCCCAAAUGGGCCCCACACAGGGCCCAUAUGGGCAGGGCGAGCAGGCUCCUUAUGACUUUUCCCUUUUGAGCCCCAUGGGGGUUUUUAGUGGGCAUGCCCACAGAAAACCCACACAUGCCCCAUAUUUUUUAGCUUGCCCCCAUUAGUUUGCCAUAGUAGGGCCUAAUAAUUUUUUUAAAUAUUUUAUUUUUAAAAUAAGUUAUUAUUAAAUUAUUAAAAUAAUUAUCAUUGGUUGUUAUUAUCUUAGCAGAUAUUUUUUUUUAUGUUUAUUGUUGUUGUUAAAUCAAAAACCAGUUACUACACUUUUAUUAUAAUAAAAACAUUUCUUUUAUUUUUUUAUAAAGCUCUGUCCAUUUAGAACAAAAUGUGCAUGCAUGUUUAUGAAAUAAUUGAACCCACCCCCGGAUGAAGAUCUAAAAAGCUAUGUUUUAAAAGCACAAUAUUUCUGUUUAUUUUAAUAGAAGAAAUAUUUAUUGUUAAACAAGUUCUAAUUUUCAGUUCCGUCUGGACGUGGGACAUCUUUUUUACCAUCUUUAUUGUUUUUUUAACAUUUUGUCUUUUGUUAUGUGUUAUUAGCUAUGGUUAUUAGUCAUGUUCGACUUCAUGCUGCGCUGCGAGAACCGACAUCAUACGUUGAUGACGUCAAUGUAUCGCGAGAGCGAGUCAAGAAUUACACUCUCGCGGUACAUUGACGUUAUCAACCUGUCAGCGCAGCAAGAAGUCGAACACACGUAUUUGCGGGCGCGCGCCUCCGUCCUCGUGAGUUCAAAGUGGAUUUUAACCGUUUACCUCAGACGACAGUUUUCAUUUCUAUGGCAAAUUCUAAGGUCAUUUUCUUGUUGUGUUUUGAUGUUUUCCAUUGGCUGAAGAGCUGAUUACCAUGCAAUUUGAAGAAGUGUGAUAAAAUACACAGAGAAGUCAUGUGUCUUUCCAAAUGCCCAAUCUGUACCACUCAAAAAGUAAUGAAGUGACAGUGUACCAUGACAAAAAAUCUAAGAUGAGCCUGAAGAGGAGAUUUGGGAAGAUGCUGUUUAUAAGUCUUUGCUUUGCCAGAUCACCUGUGGUCGAGAUGUCUGCUAACAAGAUGCCUUGUUGGUCUGGACGAGUUUGAAGUCUCUCACAGACAGUCCAGAAGGUCUGGAGUCCAUCUUAGCUUUUAUUGAUGCUUUCAUCGGGUUUUAAGUACAGUAUGAGCCAGAAUGGAAGGGUGUUGGUGGCCAUAAGAAGACUGUGAGCUAAACCUACAACAAAAUUCAUAUUUGCAGUUUUCCUAUAAAAAAUUUUCUAUUCAGAUGAAUAAAAUGACUUUUAAAUAUUA